CUCUUAUCGAGAGCGGCGGAGGGACUGGCCCGACGAAGCCCGGCAACCUCGUUCGUACCCACACGAACGAAGAGGUGCUAAAUCCAGCAGGUGUGCGCAUGCGCAUCUGGCAGAUAAGAG
rnacentral:ncRNA from 1 species